UACGUAGGGUGCAAGCGUUGUCCGGAAUUAUUGGGCGUAAAGGGCGCGUAGGCGGUUUGACAAGUCUGAUGUGAAAUCUCUGGGCUCAACCCAGAGUCUGCAUUAGAAACUGUCGGGCUUGAGUAUGGGAGAGGUGAGUGGAAUUUCUGGUGUAGCGGUGAAAUGCGUAGAUAUCGGAAGGAACACCUGUGGCGAAAGCGGCUCACUGGACCAUAACUGACGCUGAGGCGCGAAAGCUAGGGGAGCAAACAGG
rnacentral:rRNA from 1 species